GACGAACGCUGGCGGCGUGCCUAAUACAUGCAAGUAGAACGCACAGUUUAUACCGUAGCUUGCUCCACCAUAGACUGUGAGUUGCGAACGGGUGAGUAACGCGUAGGUAACCUGCCUGGUAGCGGGGGAUAACUAUUGGAAACGAUAGCUAAUACCGCAUAAUAUUAAUUAUUGCAUGAUAAUUAAUUGAAAGGUGCAAUUGCACCACUACCAGAUGGACCUGCGUUGUAUUAGCUAGUAGGUGAGGUAACGGCUCACCUAGGCGACGAUACAUAGCCGACCUGAGAGGGUGGUCGGCCACACUUGGAAUGAGACACGGCCCCGACUCCUACGGGAGGCAGCAGUAGGGAAUCUUCGGCAAUGGACGAAAGUCUGACCGAGCAACGCCGCGUGAGUGAAGAAGGUUUUCGGAUCGUAAAGAUCUGUUGUAAGAGAAGAACGGGUGUGAGAGUGGAAAGUUCACACUGUGACGGUAUCUUACCAGAAAGGGACGGCUAACUACGUG
rnacentral:rRNA from 1 species